UGGGGAAUAUUGCACAAUGGAGGGAACUCUGAUGCAGCGACGCCGCGUGAACGAAGAAGGCUUUCGUGUCGUAAUGUUCUUUUAUAUGGGAAGAUAAUGACGGUACCAUAAGAAAAAGCCCCGGCUAACUACGUGCCAGCAGCCGCGGUAAUACGUAGGGGGCUAGCGUUGUCCGGAAUCACUGGGCGUAAAGGGUUCGCAGGCGGAAAUGCAAGUCAGGUGUAAAAGGCAGUAGCUUAACUACUGUAAGCAUUUGAAACUGCAUAUCUUGAGAAGAGUAGAGGUAAGUGGAAUUUUUAGUGUAGCGGUGAAAUGCGUAGAUAUUAAAAAGAAUACCGGUGGCGAAGGCGACUUACUGGGCUCAUUCUGACGCUGAGGAACGAAAGCGUGGGUAGCAAACAGG
rnacentral:rRNA from 1 species